rnacentral:lncRNA from 1 species
UUGGACCCAAAGUCGUACAACUCUGUAGAAACCCUCCAUACUUUUGUCACAAUGUCAAUAACUAUCACACUAUUAUAUUUUCCCCCAUAAUUUUCAUUAACUAUGUAUUUUUUUAUUUUUUUUGAAGCAAUAUAUGCUUUUGUUUUGUCUUCAGAAAAUUAAUCAGAAAACGUCGCUAUUUUGUAAAGACCAAAUUAAGGAAGACAAACAAAAAAGAGAAAGUUGUCAAAGAAAAAAAAAAAAAAAAAAAGGACCACAAGUUUAGUCUUUUGGCUACGAGUCUAGUCUUUUCCUACGGACCAAUCACCAAACAAACGGCUUAUAGCUUUAGCCACCACAGUCACAGUCACAGUCACGGACUCGCUCCAGCUCUCUCUCUC